rnacentral:lncRNA from 1 species
CUAAUCGGAACCGGCGUCGGAGUGCGAAUGGGGUGCGCGACGGAGAAGUAGGGCUGUGGUGGUCGACUGGUCGGCGACCGGCGACGGGGCUUGGUUGUGUGCGACGGCGUUAGGGUUCAGGCGAUAAGAUGAGUGUCUGAACCAGCGACUGGAUGGAGGUGGUCGACGGCCGGUUCAGGUGGCAGUCAGCGGUGAUGAAUUGCAGAGGGUGGUAUAAAAAGUGGUUGUGA